rnacentral:rRNA from 1 species
GGGGUGGGCAAGCCUGGUGUCAGACGCCGCGGUAAUACCAGCACCCCGAGUGGUCGGGACGAUUAUUGGGCCAAAAGCAUCCGUAGCCGGUUCUACAAGUCUUCCGUUAAAUCCACCUGCUUAACAGUUGGGCUGCGGAGGAUACUAUAGAGCUAGGAGGCGGGAGAGGCAAGCGGUACUUAGUGGGUAGGGGUAAAAUCCGUUGAUCCACUGAAGACCACCAGUGGCGAAGGCGGCUUGCCAGAACGCGCUCGACGGUGAGGGAUGAAAGCUGGGGGAGCAAACCGGAUUAGAUUCCCGGGGGUAGUCCCAGCUGUACACGAUGCAGACUCGGUGAUGAAUAGGCCUUCGGUGCCCUAUUCAGUGCCGCAAGGGAACCCGUUAAGUCUGCCGCCUGGGGAUACGGUCGCAAGACUGAAACUUAAAGGAAUUGGCGGGGGAGCACCACAAGGGGUGAAGCCUGCGGUUCAAUUGGAGUCAACGCCGGGAAUCUUACCGGGGGCGACAGCAGAAUGAAGGUCAAGCUUGAAGAACUUUACCAGACAAGCUGAGAGGAGGUGCAUGGCCGUCGCCAGCUCGUGCCGUGAGGUGUCCUGUUAAGUCAGGUAACGAGCGAGAUCCCUGCCUCUAGUUGCUACCAUUACUUUCCCGGAUUAAUUGGGCCUAAUUAGAGGGACUGCCGUCGCUGAGACGGAGGAAGGAGGGGGCUACGGCAGGUCAGUAUGCCCCGAAACCCUCGGGCCACACGCGGGCUGCAAUGGUAAGGACAAUGAGUUCCGAUUCCGAAAG